UUUAUAUAUUUAAUAUUUGAAGUUUUUUAAUUGAAUUUCAACUUAUCCUUGUGUGAUCAUGAAUGUUAUCUAUAUAAGAAACAAAUUAUAAUGUCCACAGAACUGACUAAAUUUUAUUCAAAGUUACCAAUUGAAUCAGUUUUAAGAAUAUGUUUAUGUAAACACAAAAAUUAAAUUAUUUCAUUGAUAUCAGUUCUUCUUGAUUAUAUAUAUAUAUAUAUAUAUAUAUAUACUUUCAAUAUUACUUGCAAAAAUAUGUACAUAAAUUAAUGUGUGACUAAUUCAAAAUUUGUAGAUAUUUCUGAGAGCUCCAUAUAUGUAGCCAAAAUGUUGCAGUUUGCAAAUUAGUUUACAUCAAUUUCAACAUAUAUUGGCAUAUAUUCAAAUUUGUAAAUAUUUUAAAUAUACUUUCCUGCAGUAUAUAAAAAUAAAAAUUAUAAUAUUAAAAAAAUGACAAAGUCAUAACAAAUAAACAAUUCACCUAAAUCCCUCUUAAAAAUAUUGUAAAAGCUUACUUUUAAACGAAUUUCAUUUCUUUUUUGGUUUAUUUUCUUGUUAGGUAGUUAAUGCUCCAAAAAUAUAUUAGUAUUACUCUGUAAUUGCAAUGCAAUAUACAUUUGAUUCAUCUCAACCAAGUCUUACAAAUUGUAUACAAAUCAAUUAAUACUCUUUAAAACGUUAAUUGAUAUGUAUAUAUAUAUAUAUAUAUAUAAUUUAUUUAAUUUGAUUAAAAAAUAUAAAAAAGAUUCAAAAGUUUUCAUAUGAUGUACUUAAAUAUUUUAUAGUUAUGUCACAAGUUUAAAUAAAAAUAAAGAAAUAUAAAAUUUAAGUAAACUUAGCUUCACCAUUACCAUAAAUAUAUAUGAUGUGAUUUGUUAAGUGUGAAAUAGCUACGUUAUCUUCAAAUCAUGUUUUGCCAUAAUUUAUUAUACAGCAUCAAAAAGUUAAUUGCAAAUACUCUUGUGAUUUCAGAAACUAAAAUUUCACAUGAGAUAAAUUAAUAAUAAAAUUUCAAUAUGUUGAAUUGACAUAAAAUUGAUAUUUUUUCAGAAGAUAAAAAUGGAAAUAUGUUAUAACAGAACAAAAGUCUUUACAACUUAAUAGCUUGUGCUGUCUUCAUUUAAUAAUUAUUGAAUAACUUCACUUCCAUAAAUAAAAAUUGGUUUUGACAACAUUCAAUAACAUUUCAUUAAUAUUAAACAAAUAGAUUAUAUUGUAAAAUUCUUACUAUAAUAUUUACAGUAUAAUUCACUAUUUUGAGCUUUUAAAUAUAUAUCUGAAUUGGAUUAAUUUAAAAUGAUAAAUUUCAUUCAAUUUCUAAUAAUAAUGUUAAACUAUUUAAUGGCACUAUU
rnacentral:lncRNA from 1 species